AAUCAACGCUGGCGGCGUGCCUAACACAUGCAAGUCGAACGCGAAAGUCCCGCAAGGGGCAAGUAGAGUGGCAAACGGGUGAGUAACACGUGGGUGACCUGCCUUCGAGUGGGGGAUAACGUCCCGAAAGGGACGCUAAUACCGCAUAACAUCCUGCCUUUGAAGAGGCGGACAUCAAAGCUGGGGACCGCAAGGCCUGGCGCUUGAAGAGGGGCCCGCGCCUGAUUAGCAGUUGGUGGGGUAAUGGCUCACCAAGGCAUCGAUCAGUAUCCGGCCUGAGAGGGCGGACGGACACACUGGGACUGAGACACGGCCCAGACUCCUACGGGAGGCAGCAGUGGGGAAUUGUUCGCAAUGGGCGCAAGCCUGACGACGCAACGCCGCGUGGAGGACGAAGACC
rnacentral:rRNA from 1 species